GAGACAGCAGUCGCCACGGGAAUACGUAGGGUGCGAGCGUUAAUCGGAAUUACUGGGCGUAAAGCGUGCGCAGGCGGUUCGUUAAGACAGAUGUGAAAUCCCCGGGCUUAACCUGGGAACUGCAUUUGUGACUGGCGAGCUAGAGUAUGGCAGAGGGGGGUAGAAUUCCACGUGUAGCAGUGAAAUGCGUAGAGUUGUGGAGGAAUACCGAUGGCGAAGGCAGCCCCCUGGGCCAAUACUGACGCUCAUGCACGAAAGCGUGGGGAGCAAACAGGAUUAGAUACCCCGGUAGUCCCUGUCUCUUAUAC
rnacentral:rRNA from 1 species